GACGAACGCUGGCGGCGUGCUUAACACAUGCAAGUCGAACGGAAAGGCCCUGCUUUUGUGGGGUGCUCGAGUGGCGAACGGGUGAGUAACACGUGAGUAACCUGCCCUUGACUUUGGGAUAACUUCAGGAAACUGGGGCUAAUACCGGAUAGGAGCUCCUGCUGCAUGGUGGGGGUUGGAAAGUUUCGGCGGUUGGGGAUGGACUCGCGGCUUAUCAGCUUGUUGGUGGGGUAGUGGCUUACCAAGGCUUUGACGGGUAGCCGGCCUGAGAGGGUGACCGGCGACAUUGGGCCUGAGAUAGGGCCCAGACUCCUACGGGAGGCAGCAGUGGAGAAUAUUGCACAAUGGGCGGAAGCCUGAUGCAGCAACGCCGCGUGCGGGAUGACGGCCUUCGGGUUGUAAACCGCUUUCGACUGUGACGAAGCGUGAGUGACGGUAAUGGGUAAAGAAGCACCGGCUAACUACGUG
rnacentral:rRNA from 1 species